rnacentral:rRNA from 1 species
AUGAACGUCGCGCUCAGGUUGAGAUGGGUCUGGCAGAUCCUACGCGGUGAGGGAGGCCUAUGGCUUCAGCUUCGGGCAAAAUACCUUCGAGGUGAGCCCCUCCUAGCAUGCUCUCGGACAGGAGGAAUGUUUUGGCGCUCCAUCCAAAGGAUCAAGGAGGGCAUCAGCCUAGGGAUUUCCUUCUCCAUAGGGAAUGGGGCGGGACCCAAUUCUGGCUGGACCCUGGUUGGGUACUAA